GAAAUCUGUUGCAAUUAUCUGACAGCUAAAGUUAACCUACUAAUAUUUACCAUUAAAGAUUAUCUUCAAGUAAAAAAAUUUCAAAUUUGCGAAGAUUCUAAUGUAAAGUCCUUAAGAUCCUUGAGGAUUAUCAUAUAAGUUAUGCAUCCAGCAGACGUUCAACUCCCAUUCCAGUACGCAGUCCAAACAAAAAAGGUUGUCCUGGUUUCAAGGACAAUGGCAACCACACAAGAUCCUAUUCACCGCCACCAAAGAAUAAAAUACAGAUGUGAGUAAAACCUUGUUAGAUUUUUAUGCACAAGGUAAUAAAAACCUGGACUAUUGAGCAAACGGUAGAGGAGGGGGAGGAAGAACGUGCAGGUGUGGGA